AAAUCUUGGCUGGAAUCAAAUUACGGACGUCAAAGAUGGAUCGUUUGCAAAUCUCUACAAUUUGACAUAUUUAUAUCUUUACUACAAUCAAAUUCAAGACAUCAAAGCUGAAUGGUUUGCAAAUCUCUCCAAUUUGACAUAUUUAGAUCUUUCCUCCAAUCAAUUUAAAGACAUCAAAGAUGGAUGGUUUGCAAAUCUCUACAAUUUACAAACGUUGUAAGUUGCCUC